ensembl:lncRNA
CAACCCAUCUACUGUUUUCCAGUGAGGAAGCAAACCCCAGCUGUCUGAAGCCUUCUCCCUGCUCUGGCCCAGCUCUCCUUCUCUCCCCAUCACUGGUACACUGACAGCAGCAGGGAAUUGAUGUCUAGUUCAGGACAUCAGGUAGAACAGAGUUUAUUCCUGCCUUCGGUGUCCUUGCUGGACCAGGGGUCUUGGCUAGACCCUCUGUUCUGAAGAGGGUUCCCUCAUGAAGUUCCUGCUUGAGUGAGGGAUGUGUUUCUUGGCCAUCCCAAUUGCUUCCAGUCCCAGCUGAAAGCACCGCCUCCUUCCAUCUCCUCAACUUAGGAACCCCAUCUCUAGCAAAGCAUCAUCAUUGCUCAAAGUUUGGGAUGGUACUCUGUGGAGCCACAGCCACUGCAGGCAGCCAGGUGACAAAAAACUAGCAGAGUGGUAGCACAGCUUGCGAGGCUUGGUGUUGCCUUUGGGGUGUAGCCAUCCCCUGCAGCAGCUCUGCUCUUUGCUACCAGCCACGUGGCCUCUGCCACUGCUCCUAGGCGUGUUGAUAGGGGCUGUGCAGGAGAAGCACGCUCCGGCUAGCGGUACUGACUGGCCGGCAGGGAUGUAGCAGCCAGCUGCAGGACAGAAGGGUGUCAGGAAGGGUGCCAGGCUGCGCCAGCACCUCGGGGAGCAAUGGGCCGCUUGGAUGACCAUGCCAAGAAGAGGAUCGUGGAGUUGCGCAAAGCUGGGCUGAGCUUUCGCAAGAUCAAGAAAGUUUUAGAGCUGGACAACAUUCGGGUGACCCCCCAGGCGGUGUACCUCUUCCUCAAGCGGAAGAAUGUGGAGCCCUCCCAGGCGACAGGAGCCGCGCUGCCCCAGCCAACAGGUGACAGGGCGCAGCACAAGGCAGGUGCCGGCCAGGCAGGCUGGGAGGAUGAGCAGCUCUGGACCAUGCUCCAAGAAAAUGAGCCCGAGCAGAAUGAGCAGGAAGCGGUGGGUCCCAAGCUCCCUGUGCUGCCCAGUGGAGGGGCCGCAGGCAGCGAAGGGCCCUGCCUCAGCGACGGCCGAGACAGCAAGGAAGGCAUCAAGAUUGUCAGUGUGACCUCGCUCUGCAAGGAUGGCAGGCAGUUUGGGAAGCCUGUGCCCACGGGACUGCCUUCCGGGACCCAAGUGGCCCCUAGGAACAGUGAUGACUGCUCUGUGAACCGAUCGAGUACUCUGGGGAGCUGCCCGGCUCUCCUGCCCCCAGCCGUCCCCCAGCAGCCACUGCCCAAUCGAGGGAGGCUCUUUGUGCCCCCUGCCAGGAACCCAGCCCUGAUUGUAAAGAAGAAGAUUGUGGAUAGGGCUAUUCUCCUCCAGAAAAAGGUCAAAGAUGCCAGCACUCAGACUGCCCUGCUGAAUAUUGCAGGUCCUGGAAAUCAGAGCCUUGCAUGGGGGGGGCCAAUGCUUCCCCCUGCUCCCAGCUCCCAUGCCGUUGCUGAAAAGUUGGAUGCUGUACACACAGAGAUCCAGAAACUGAGUCAGGCGAUGCAUGCGGUCCUGGAGAGGCAAUGCUGCCUAGAGCGCCAGCAGGAGCAUCAGCAGCGACUCCAGCAGGAGGUGUUGAUGACGCUGCAGCAGCUCAGCUCCACAGUGAGCCAUGGGACUGUGCCAGGAAACCAGCCCUGUGUCCCCUUCAGCAGCAUGGCUGAGCCCUCGCCCACUGUGCCAAACUUCAGCCAGUUCAAGAUGGAACUAAUUUGA